rnacentral:rRNA from 1 species
CCCUUAGAUGUUCUGGGCUGCACGCGCGCUACACUGACACACUCAGCGAGUCUCCUGGCCCGAGAGGGUUGGGUAAUCAUGUGAGCGUGUGUCGUGAUGGGGAUAGAAUAUUGUAAUUAUUGCUCUUCAACGAGGAAUUCCUAGUAAACGCAAGUCAUCAGCUUGCAUUGAUUACGUCCCUGCCCUUUGUACACACCGCCCGUCGCACCUACCGAUUGAAUGGUCCGGUGAAAUCUCGGGACGGCGGCUUGGUCGCUUGCGUCCGACUGCUGAAACUUGAUUAAACCAUAUCAUUUAGAGGAAGGUGAAGUCGUAACA